rnacentral:rRNA from 1 species
CACGUAGGGCGCAAGCGUUGUCCGGAAUUAUUGGGCGUAAAGAGCUCGUAGGCGGUCUGUUGCGUCCGCUGUGAAAACUCGGGGCUUAACCCCGAGCCUGCAGUGGAUACGGGCAGACUAGAGGUAGGUAGGGGAGAAUGGAAUUCCCGGUGUAGCGGUGAAAUGCGCAGAUAUCGGGAGGAACACCGGUGGCGAAGGCGGUUCUCUGGGCCUUACCUGAGGCUGAGGAGCGAAAGCGUGGGGAGCGAACAGG